GUCCAGUACUGGUGUGAAGCCAAGCUAGAACUGGGACCAGAAGGACCACAGCCCCCUCCAGUGGUGAAGUCACAGAACAUCACUACUGUGGUCCUCUUUGGUCCACAGCUCGUUUGUCCUACAAAACUGCAGGUGAGAGAGGGACAGAGCCUCAGCUGUGAAGUGAGAGGAAACCCUCAACCAGAAGUCUUAUGGUUCAGAGAUGGGCAGGCGGUUGCCCUGCCCACUCACUCAAGCAGAAAGGAUACUGGGAAAUACACAGCCGUCACAAGAGGACAUCUUGGACUGAAAAACUUUACAGUGGAUGUGGAGGUCCUUACUGGCAGUGGAACUGCAAACAGCUGUAACAGACACCUGUUGGCAGUUUUGCUCAUUCAGAUAAUCAGCUGGCUGUAAAAACUCCUAAAAGAACCCAACCUGAUAUUCCCAUGCUGUCUGGAUGAACUGCUCCUGCUGUCAAAAAAAAAAAUCUUCAUCCGGGUUGACUUAUUGCUUUGUUUUCACAUGGAUCAGAUUCACAUCAAUAUAUCUGCAUCUUCUUUUUCAACACUCCAAAAAAAACAACUGAGUCUCUUUAUAAGCAGAUGAAAGUUCUCUUUUUGAGUGUGUCUGUCCAGGUACAUUUUCUUAUGUUAAUAAACUGACGUGUCAAUAUAAUCUGCACAAAAGGUAAAUUUCAUCUUCCAGACUGAAAGCUGCUCAAGAGAGAAAUUCACAGUCUAGUUUUGCACAACUUAAACAAACAUAUUUGUGUGACCGCGUUUCCCCCUUGUUUAUUUUAAGAUGAUUUUUAGGAACUGACUGAAUCAUUUGCCGAACAACGUGGGUCUUUCCUGUGUUCAGUCUUCUUUCACAGAGGUUAUGUUCUGUCUGCUGUACAUUAAAAUGCUGAACUAUCGUGUCCAACAGCAGUACUUCUUGCUUUAGACUUGAACUCAUACAACUACGAAAUAUUGCCACAAUGGACCUCAUUCUUCAUCUUCCUAGUUUUUCUCUUUAUUUCGUUUUUUUUACACUUGUUCUUGAGAAAGGUUCAAAGAAAUGUCUACGCUAGAUAAGACUAUUUAGCUCAAAACAAAUGGUUAUACAAUAUGCAAGCUCUUUAUUAUUUAUUAAUUCAAAGUAAAUCAUUUACAUUUUAAACACAUGUUAAAGAGUCAUUAUCACAGGUAGUACAUGUCAAGAUCAGAAACAGAUAAGGUAGAUGUUAAUUUCUCUGUUCAUUGGUAAAAGUGCCACUUUUCCCCUUCAUGGGUCAAACCCAUUAGUAUUACUUUUACCUUUAGUUUCUUUCCAUCUCAGAUGAUAUACUCAUACAAACAAGUAAAAAUGACAGAAAGCACACAAACUUCAUCUGAGAGUCACAGCUUUUGGCUAUAGACAAAAAGUUAGAUAAUUGGGAUCCUCACUGCUGUUUGUUAGAAUCCCAUUAUGUGCCCAGUCCGUUUCCAAAGGAACCUGCUCCCAUCUAGAAAGAAAAUAAAUGGAUAAAAGACAUCAUACAGCAUUGUUAUUGACAUCGAAGCUAAUUGAAAUCUACAAGGUAUCAGGCAGCACUUGAUAUUAUAUAUUAGGAAGAUGUCACCAAAUAUGGAUGGUUAUAUUCUUUAGUAAAUAAUGUGAAAAAAAAACAAAACAAAAAAA